rnacentral:hammerhead_ribozyme from 1 species
AUCCAGCUGACCAGUACCAGAUAGGACGAAACGCGCGUCGAACUGGAU